ensembl:lncRNA POLR1HASP POLR1H antisense, pseudogene
CAACAGGGAAUAGUCUCAUAAUGGAUUUAGAGUGAAGGAUGAUUGGCAUUGUUAGUCAGGCAAGCAGAGGGCUGAGCAGUCAAAUAACAGAAUUUCAGAACAAAAGAUUAGAGGGCAGAAAUGCUGUAUGUGCUGAUAGAGUCAGAGAGGGCCCGGAUCAAGAAACUGCAGGAAGAGAAAACUAGAAACCUAGAAUCGUCUAGAAAACUAGAACCUACAAUCGUCUCAGAACACAAAGGAGGCUUGAGGACUGAGCAGACUGACAUAGAUGUACUUGGACAACACCUCACCAAGGAGCAUGUCUCUUCCCACUCACAAUCCCCAAUACGAGAUUCACAGUGGUUCACGCUGAGUCCACAGGAAAAAUUGGCCUGGGGUACAUCAUCUAAAGAUCCUAGGAUUGCUGCAGGUCAGCAGUCUCCACUGGAAAAAAAGAUCUUGAAUCUAGGUGGUGUGCAUACAACAGCAGCAAGACAGUUGAUAAUGCAGAAAUAUCAGGAGGAGUGUGAAAUACUCUGUAGGGAGCAAGCUGUUUCUCUUGACUACUGGCUUGCCAAAGCAGAGUCUUAUUAUAAUAAAAUAAUAGUGGAAAUGAUGAAAGAAGAGACAGGCAAUGAAAUCUAGAAAAAAAUGGAGGAGAAAACAACCCAGAGCGUAGAAGGACUAAAACAGUACUGUUUGGUACCUGAGAGAGAGAUGAAACACAUAGAAAGGCACAUACAUCAAACAGGAAAGGCUGGAGAAUUUAAGAACAAACCAUUUAGACAAGUACUACAACCCCCCAAUGAAACAAAAUUACCAAAAAUUAUGCCAGAAGGGCAUGGCAUCCAGAACGCACAGAGAAGAAAGCAGGUAAAUGAGAGGGAACAGAUGCAGACUAAGGAUCACCAGGAACGCAUGAUUCGAGGGAGAGAACUUGCAGAACAAAGACUCAAGGAGAGAAUCUUGAGAAGAAGCCAGAGCCAGCUACUUACAUAUGAGAAGCAUGAGAGAGUAAAAGAGAUAAAGGAGUUUGAAAGAGUUAUUGCGUAUCUUCUUUUCCAACCAUGCAGUAGAAGUCGGAUUAAAGUGAGUAUUCUUAUGGAUAAGUCUCAGAAUGGAGAGAAGGUGAAUACAAUUGUGAAACCAUAUCAAAGAAAAUUCUUGGCAAUGCCACCCUUUUUAAGAAGUCAAAUAGGAAAAAUAAGAGAUUAAAGUUUCAAUGCUGUUA